UCACUUGCCUGCUAACAAUUCCUCCCAAGUGGUAGGAUGGCUUUUUUUUUUCUGCUCAUAAUAAUACCCCAUUUUCCCUGGGGGCACAGGUGUUAUUCAAAGAAGGCUGUACUAUAAGAUUUUUGUUCCAAAGUUUUCCUGGCCAAAUGGCUACCACUUACUACAUCACCUCUAUAUCCCUACUAAUGUUUUCUGGCCCAAGCAGGAAUACGUAAAGGAAAACUAGAAGGAGACAUUGGGCUUCUAACACUGUAGUAGAGUGGGCAAAUCAAAGGCUAAAAGUCAUGUAAAUAAGGUUUUUCAUUUAUGAGAAUGAUAAGAAUUUUGGUCAACUCAAGAUGGAAUCCUCUUAAUUUGGGCAUCUAAAAUUUCUGCAUCACAAAAAAAGCCUGUGGUGUUAUGCUGGCUGGCUAGGUUGAAACAGAACAAUAAAUAGUUGAGGUGAACUCAUAAACCUUAGAAACUUAGAUUAUAUUUGCAGCAUAGAUGGUGAAACAUGGAAUAUUUCUUUUUAGUUCCUAUUGCAUAACAGUCUAUGACACAAAGAUGGAGUUUGGAAUGCAUUUAGAUAUCUAAUACAGCUGUAUUGUAUAUAUUGUGUGUUUUUUUAAAUUAGGCUGUGGCUGUGUGAAAACAAGGACUGUAUCUUGGGCAUUUUCAAAUCUCCAGCUUCUAGCCCAGGUGCUCAGUAGGUAUUUUGUGAAUGAAUGAAUGAAUGAAUCAUAGUAUUGUGAAGAGAUUGUAGACAUGGGAGGGAUGCAUCUUGAAUAACAUGGUGUUAAACUUAACCAAAGUUCCAGUGGUGGGCAUUUCCUUCAGUCCAGAUCAUCAGGUGAAAAAUAAUUCACCCACCAAUUCUGGCUAACUUAAGCCUUCAGACAGCCAUCAUGUGUUUGUCUUCCUUUAAGGGACCUGGAUCAUAUAUAAUGUAAGGUCACCCUUAACAGAUAUUAAUGUAAAAUCAAAUUAGUUAAAAUUAUUUUCAUCUGGGUGUGGUGGCACAUGCCUGCAGCCCCAGCCACUCUGGAGGCUGAGGCGGGAGUGUUGUUUGAGCCCAGGAAUUCUGGGCUGUACUGCACUAUGCCAAUAGGGUAUCCACACUAAGUAUGGCAUCAGUAUGAUGACUUCCCUGGAACAGAGGACUAUAAGUUUCCUAAAGAGG
rnacentral:lncRNA from 1 species